rnacentral:rRNA from 1 species
GAUGAACGCUGGCGGCGUGCCUAAUACAUGCAAGUCGAGCGAACGGACGAGAAGCUUGCUUUUCUGAUGUUAGCGGCGGACGGGUGAGUAACACGUGGAUAACCUACCUAUAAGACUGGGAUAACUUCGGGAAACCGGAGCUAAUACCGGAUAAUAUUUUGAACCGCAUGGUUCAAAAGUGAAAGACGGUCUUGCUGUCACUUAUAGAUGGAUCCGCGCUGCAUUAGCUAGUUGGUAAGGUAACGGCUUACCAAGGCAACGAUGCAUAGCCGACCUGAGAGGGUGAUCGGCCACACUGGAACUGGGACACGGUCCAGACUCCUACGGUAGGCAGCAGUAGGGAAUCUUCCGCAAUGGGCGAAAGCCUGACGGAGCAACGCCGCGUGAGUGAUGAAGGUCUUCGGAUCGUAAAACUCUGUUAUUAGGGAAGAACAUAUGUGUAAGUAACUGUGCACAUCUUGACGGUACCUAAUCAGAAAGCCACGGCUAACUACGUG